rnacentral:rRNA from 1 species
GGCCUACCAUGGUGGUAACGGGUAACGGGGUGUUAGGGCACGACACCGGAGAGGGAGCCUGAGAAACGGCUACCACAUCCAAGGAUGGCAGCAGGCGCGCAAAUUACCCAAUCCCGACACGGGGAGGUAGUGACAAUAAAUAACAAUACGGGGUUCUUUUGGAUUUCGUAAUUGGAAUGAGUACAAUUUAAAUCUCUUAACGAGGAAUAAUUGGAGGGCAAGUCUGGUGCCAGCAGCCGCGGUAAUUCCAGCUCCAAUAGCGUAUAUUAAAGUUGUUGCAGUUAAAAAGCUCGUAGUUGAAUUUCGGGGUUAGUAGGCUGGUCGUGCCAUAGGUAUGCACUGGUCUUACUGAUUCCUCCUUCCUGAUGAACCGUAAUGCCAUUAAUUUGGUGUUGCGGAGAGUCUGGACUGUUACUUUGAAAAAAUUAGAGUGUUUAAAGCAGGCUAACGCUUGAAUACAUUAGCAUGGAAUAACGAAAUAGGACGUUCGAUCUUAUUUUGUUGGUUUCUAGGAUUGACGUAAUGAUUAAUAGGGAUAGUUGGGGGCAUUAGUAUUCAAUUGUCAGAGGUGAAAUUCUUGGAUUUAUUGAAGACUAACUACUGCGAAAGCAUUUGCCAAGGAUGUUUUCAUUAAUCAAGAACGAAAGUUAGGGGAUCGAAGACGAUCAGAUACCGUCGUAGUCUUAACCAUAAACUAUGCCGACUAGGGAUCGGAUGAUGUUAAUUUUAUAAUGACUCAUUCGGCGCCUUACGG